GGGGGCAACUUGUUGCUCUCGCUAUUAGAUGAGCCUAAGUCGGAUUAGCUAGAUGGUGGGGUAAAGGCCUACCAUGGCGACGAUCUGUAGCUGGUCUGAGAGGAUGAUCAGCCACACCGGGACUGAGACACGGCCCGGACUCCUACGGGAGGCAGCAGUGGGGAAUAUUGGACAAUGGGGGCAACCCUGAUCCAGCCAUGCCGCGUGUGUGAAGAAGGCCUUUUGGUUGUAAAGCACUUUAAGCAGUGAAGAAGACUCCGUGGUUAAUACCCACGGACGAUGACAUUAGCUGCAGAAUAAGCACCGGCUAACUCUGUGCCAGCAGCCGCGGUAAUACAGAGGGUGCAAGCGUUAAUCGGAAUUACUGGGCGUAAAGCGAGCGUAGGUGGCUUGAUAAGUCAGAUGUGAAAUCCCCGGGCUUAACCUGGGAACUGCAUCUGAUACUGUUAGGCUAGAAUAGGUGAGAGGAAGGUAGAAUUCCAGGUGUAGCGGUGAAAUGCGUAGAGAUCUGGAGGAAUACCGAUGGCGAAGGCAGCCUUCUGGCAUCAUAUUGACACUGAGGUUCGAAAGCGUGGGUAGCAAACAGGAUUAGAUACCCUGGUAGUCCACGCCGUAAACGAUGUCUACUAGUCGUUGGGUCCCUUGAGGACUUAGUGACGCAGCUAACGCAAUAAGUAGACCGCCUGGGGAGUACGGCCGCAAGGUUAAAACUCAAAUGAAUUGACGGGGGCCCGCACAAGCGGUGGAGCAUGUGGUUUAAUUCGAUGCAACGCGAAGAACCUUACCUGGUCUUGACAUAU
rnacentral:rRNA from 1 species